rnacentral:pre_miRNA from 1 species
GUCACCCGAAGUAGAGUAGUUUAGUAGGAUCAGCUGGACCUACUAAACUACUCUACUUCGAACCUGUGCCC